UACGUAGGGACCAAGCGUUGUCCGGAAUCAUUGGGCGUAAAGAGCGUGUAGGCGGCCAAACAGGUCCACUGUGAAAACUCGAGGCUCAACCUCGAGAGGUCGGUGGAAACCGUCUGGCUAGAGUCCGGAAGAGGAGAGUGGAAUUCCCGGUGUAGCGGUGAAAUGCGCAGAUAUCGGGAAGAACACCCGUGGCGAAGGCGGCUCUCUGGGACGGUACUGACGCUGAGACGCGAAAGCGUGGGGAGCGAACAGG
rnacentral:rRNA from 1 species